rnacentral:lncRNA from 1 species
ACUUCCGAUUCCAGGAGGAGUGGAGAAAGAGACAAGAAGAGAGGUCCAGGAAGCAUUGGGAGAAGUGAGCUGGAAAAAGAAAUGACUAAAAAAAAUAUCCCAAGGAAAUGGAAUGCUUUGUCACCACAUUAUAGGACUUACGAGAAGUAGUUGGGCAUAGAGGCUUAUGCCUGUGACCUCUGCACUUCGGGGACUGAAGCUCCAGGCCAUGAAUUAUGAACCUGCAGGAAGCAAUCAGUGAGCCUGGGGUGGCCAUGGAGGGGCCAAAGACAUAUACUUCUGCAAAGAAAGCCAAGGAAAAAAAGAACUUUGCUUCAUGGCCGCCUCUCUUGCCUGAGUGUCAGCUGUUUGACAUCUUUCCACUCCUCCGAGCAACACAGAAGAACAUGGCUCUCUCAGAAGACGAACCGGGCAUCCUCCCAAAACUGUCACAAAAUGGCACAUCCUGCAGUAUUUACUGAUCCCCUGGGAAAUGCUAACCAGAAAUUGGGUUUGCUUCUUGACUUGUGUCUUCACAGUUGAAAACCUUCUAAAAUGGACCUGUCGCUUUGCCACACACAGACCAGGAAAACCCUAAGGGGCAAGAACUUGGAAAGAUUUCGGAUCUUUAUGAAGCACUCUGACUCAAAUUCCGACUUGAUUUCUGGAGAGACGAAGGCUGGGAGUCACUGAGUUCUCACUGACCUCUGAGCUUUGUGUGUGAUCUCAGGGGGACAUCGUUUGUGGCACAUCCCAGUGUGUACAUCUACGGCUCAUUUCCCAUUUAUAGCUGACAUGUGAACGUCAGCUACUGGGCUGGCAGUUGCCGGAAGUGUGGCACAUUUUAAAAAACACGGAGACACAGCUGCUAAAGUCACUGUUGUGUCCCUAAAAACUGAAAUGGAGUGCUCAAUGCACUGGAAGGAAGAAAACAUCAUCCUAACAGCCAUGGCCUCUCCAGGAGCCCCCAGAUCUCUGGUUCUUGUUUUGAGCAUUAGCUCUUUCCAUUAGCCAGUGUAGGCAGCCCUGACUCUAUGAUUGGGAGAAGCAACACAAAGUGAAAAUAGAGAUCUUCUGUGUGAAAGUUCCUUUGAGGUGGGAACAUUGAAGCAAGUGAGAGGUCUUUUUGAGUGUGGAGCCCCGUGCUUCUGAAGGAGUCUGACCCACGAAGAUAGCUCGAUGUACUGCCCAGAUGUGAUUGCUACGAUGAAAUACUGGAGUUAUAAUGAAAUACCGGAAACACACUCCUUAUAAAGGAAAAGAGAUUUAUUUAGCACCCAGUUUUGGAGCUCCAAGGGCAUGGCCCUCUAUAAUAUGUUCUGGUGAGGGUCUUUUUGGCUGUGUCACAAGACUGCAGAUAGUAAUAGUGAGCUGCAUUGCUAAACAAAGAGUUAGAGAGAGUAGGACCCCACUCUGGCUCUUUAUCACAAUCCUCCCCAGAGAAUUAACUUGCAAGAAAUACUUGUAUUCCUUUCGAGGGCAUACUACCAAUAGACCAAUGGAUCUCCCAUGAAGCAAUAUCUCUUCAAGGUCUACCCAGCAUCAUCACACUGGGAGUCAAUAUUUCAAUUCAUGGACCCUUGGUAGACAAACCAGUUCCUAACCAUAAUACUAUGAAAGAGAAAACAGCAUAAUAAGGAAGCAGGCAUAUUUGAUAUGACCUCCAUUAGUCCCAGGGUUUUUUUUUGUUUUGUUUUGUUUUGUUUUGUUUUGUUUGUUUGUUUUUUGUUUUUCGAGACAGGGUUUCUUUGUAUAGACCUGGCUGUCCUGGAACUCACUCUGUAGACCAGGUUGGCCUCGAACUCAGAAAUCUGCCUGCCUCUGCCUCCCGAGUGCUGGUAUUAAAGGCGUGUGCCACCAUGCCCGGCUAGCCCCAGUUUUUAUCCCCUUGAAUAUAACUGGUCCUGGGAAUGGCCCUCAGCGGUACCUUCUGGAGAUACUGAAGCAUGCUUCCCCAUCCACGAGUGCUGGAUAGGCUAUUAAGACUCAGUAGUGGGGCUGGAGAGAUGGCUUAGCAGUUAAGAGCACCGGCUGCUCUUCCAGAGGUUUUGAGUUCAAUUCCCAGCAACCACAUGGUGGUUCACAACCAUCUGCAAUGGGAUCCGAUGUCCUCUUCUGUUGUUUAUGAAGAGAGCAACAGUGUACUCAUACAAAAUAAAAAUAAAAAUAAAAAUAAAAAGUUCAUUAGAAGCACUGGGGGUGCAUAUCUUUAAUUUCAGCACUCAGGAGGCAGAGGCAGGCAGAUCUCUGUGAGUUUGAGGCCAGCUUGGUCUAUAAAGUAAGUUCCAAGGCAGCUAGGGCUGUACAUAGAAACCCUGUCUAGAAAAACAGACAGACAGACAGACAGACAACUCAAUAGAAUGGCAGUGGACUUGACAGAAACCCUCCCCUCACGAUGUCUGCCUGAGCUUCUUGUGCUUCUGUUCCUUACUGUGAGAAUGUCCUGUGUCGCUGCAG